rnacentral:rRNA from 1 species
GAUGAACGCUGGCGGCGUGCCUAACACAUGCAAGUCGAACGAAAAGACGAGGAGUUUGUUCCUUUGACGGUAGCGGCGGACGGGUGAGUAACACGUGGAUAACCUACUUCUAUGACUGGGAUAACUUCGGGAAACAGGAUCUAAUACCGGAUAACAUGUUGUACCGUUUGGUUUAAGAGAGAUAGUCGCUUUUUGCGCUACUUUUAGAUGCUUUCGGGCCGUAUUAGCUAGUUGGUAGGGUAACGGCUUACCAAGGCAACGAUGCGUAGCCGACCGGAGAGGAUGAUCGGCCACACUGGAACUGAGCCACGGUCCAGACUCCUACGGGAGGCAGCAGUAGGGAAUGUUAGGCAAUGGGCGAAAGCCUGACGCAGCGACACCGCGUGGGUGAAGAAGGCCUUCGGUUCGUAAAGCUCUGUUGUUGGGAAAGAACAGAUGUGUGAGGAAAUGUGGCCGUCUUGACGGUACCUAAAGAAUAAGCACCGGCUAACUACGUG